UCUUAUGUUGAAACCAGCUUGUUGGAGCAGACCAUGUGCUCUGAUGUCAUGGUUUUUUUUUUAGAUUAAGUUUAAAUGGCUUUGCAUUUAGUUUAACUUGGUUUCCAUUUUGUUUACCCCUUGUGCUAAACUUAGUUUGGCCAAACCACAAUAUAAAUUUGUCUCAUUGUUGGAGAUUUGUUUGUUUAGUUCACACCGUAUAUGUUGAUCUCUUUUAUUAGUCUUGUUCUUAUAAUUGUGUUUUGUGAUGGGGGAAAUAGAAACUGAUUUCGGACACAGCCUCAAUUACGAGCAUUUUCUUCACCUGUGGAUCGCUCUGUCUUUUGAUAGACAUUUGCAAGGACCAAUAGGAGAUGAGAACAGUGUUGCCAGUGACCAGUUAGUGUCCAACAGGUGGAACUACAGGCACAAACAAGAGCAGGAGCAGCAGGAGCGGAUGUUGAAAGAGAGCCAUGAGAUGAGCAUCAGGAGUCAAAAGCGACAGAGGACAGCUGCCAUGUCGAAUCAACAUGUUUGGCCCCUCGGGAGUCCAGACUACCCCCCUCCCCGAUCACAGCAGAGGGGAGGAUGGUCUUCAUCGCUUCACACUCCCUGACUGGGAUCUCAAUGUGCCGCCCAGCGGAGGGAUGUGUUGACACGGCCACUCCAGCUGUUUUUAGGACCCUGGAUUUCUACUUCAGAGCAGCAGGUGACUUUGAACCAUCAAGAGGGAUUUUUAAGACCUUGAUGCCCCAAAAAAAUAGCAUUAAUCUUGAAAACAACAGUUUCAAAGUUGGGACAGUUUUUCUUGUGAUCUCUUUCUAUUUCUAUCUAUCUGUGUUCCUCUCAGUGCAGACACAUGUGGAUGGAGUGCCAAGCUGCUUUUGAUUGAGAAAGCAUGACAGUUGGGUUGCUUGAUCGUUGCUCACCAUGUCAUGAACAUACCAAAUAUUGCUUUAGAAACAUUUGUAUUGAUUCAAAUAUAAUGAUAUUAUGCUAGUUUAGCUGUUAUUACUCACAAUUAACUGGACAGUUCCACCAAUGAAGAUGUCUCUGUUGUUGCCUUCAAUUUCUGUGUCUUUCACCUCAUCCUGCCUUUCAUCUGUCUUUGUCUCUUUCCUUGUUGUUUUGGUUUUAUCAAUGGAGAAAAUAAAAACAUGUCAGAUUAA